UACGUAGGGUGCGAGCGUUGUCCGGAAUUACUGGGCGUAAAGAGCUCGUAGGUGGUUUGUCGCGUUGUUCGUGAAAACUCACAACUCAAUUGUGGGCGUGCGGGCGAUACGGGCAGACUGGAGUACUGCAGGGGAGACUGGAAUUCCUGGUGUAGCGGUGGAAUGCGCAGAUAUCAGGAGGAACGCCGGAGUGCAAGGCGGUCUCUGGGCCUGAUAACUGACGCUGAGUACAGAAAGCGUGGGGAGCGAAC
rnacentral:rRNA from 1 species